rnacentral:rRNA from 1 species
AACGCGAAGAACCUUACCUGGGCUCGAACGGCUUCUGAUCGCCGGUGGAAACACUGGCUUCCCCGCAAGGGGCAGGAGUCGAGGUGCUGCAUGGCUGUCGUCAGCUCGUGUCGUGAGAUGUUGGGUUAAGUCCCGCAACGAGCGCAACCCUUGUCCUGUGUUGCCACUCCGUAAGGAAGCACUCUCAGGAGACCGCCAGCGAUAAGCUGGAGGAAGGUGGGGAUGACGUCAAGUCAUCAUGGCCUUUAUGUCCAGGGCUACACACGUGCUACAAUGGGCGGUACAAAGCGCUGCAAACCCGCGAGGGGGAGCCAAUCGCAAAAAACCGUUCUCAGUUCGGAUUGCAGGCUGCAACUCGCCUGCAUGAAGCUGGAAUCGCUAGUAAUGGCGUAUCAGAACGACGCCGUGAAUACGUUCCCGGGCCUUGUACACACCGAGACGUA